AAAAAGUAGGUACAAAAGAAGAAAGGCCGGAGGGAGAGGCACGUUUUGCUAAAACCCAGGACAGCUGACAGGGAACAUGAAGAUAGGGCCACUAUGGUGAGAUGCUGCAGGGGCUGAAGGAAGCCUCGGGGCCUCACUGCUCAGACGUCUGUGUCCGUCUCAGGUUGUCCUUCACGCGGACAAACUCUGGGAUCUUCUGCUGGUUCUCCAGCCGCCUGAUCUCCUCCUGCUCAUACUGGAAAGACAAAAGACAAGUCAGUGCAUCAGCUCUCAGCCAGUCAGUGUUAUCCACCUCAUCCAUCAUCAGACUAUUGCAUUUUACCAGAUAACAAAAUUUCCAUCACCAAGCUUCUGCUGCCUCUUGCGGAGCUCCGUCUCUAGAUCUGAGGGCUGCUGUCGUGCCAUCUCCUCCUCCUUGUGCAGCUCCAGUCUGCGCUGCUCCAACACUCGCUGCAGCUCCGGUUUCUCCUCCAACAGCAGGCCCCUGCAUGGUCAGUCAGAGUCACAGUUACACACACAAAUCCACCCUGCUCUGUUUCAAAUGUUGAACACAUUAAGAUCAGAGAGUCGGAGGAGGGUUUUCGGUGUUGGUUAUACCGUUUAUGGCUGAGCAGCAGUUCCCGGUGCAGGUUCUGGUAGCUCGGUGUCUCCCCUGAGGAACCGUUCAGUUUCCUGGGCUGAAGGACCUCGUCACCGCUGCAGUCUGCUGUGGACUGACGGGACAGCCUCUGGCGGCCAACAGAACUCUCUGAGGGACACAAAACAACUAAUAUCACAACCUGUUGACUUUAACUUUUAACUUCUCAGAUCUAAACUCUAAUUCUUAUCAAAUCUUUAAAUUGAUAAAUGAACAACGUUUGACACUGCUGCCAUCAUGUAUGUUGUAGAGGUGAGAUUUCAGUCACAAAGUAAUACAUUAUUUAAAGAGGGAAACAACAUUUGAAUAACAAUUGAACAAUAUGUCAGGUAAGUAGGCUACUUGUGUAAAAUACAUCCAUCAAACAGUUCCUAAUCUAUUAAUAAAAUAUUUGAUUGAUAGAUUGAAUCAAUCUAUCAUUCUUCUUCAGUCUAUCAUUCAUAAUCAAUCUAUCAAAUAGAUGAAUCAAUCAAAUAUUUAAUUGGUAACAUUUGAGUGAUCCUUCUAAUCGAUCAAAUCUUCUAAUCAUCAGUAUCAUCAACUGCUCUUGUUUUAAGUUUAGAAUAUUAUUUUCAUUUCUGUUCAGCAUUUGUAAGAUACCUUUUUUGUGUUGUCCAUAUCCUGGUUUCUGUCGGAAUAAAAAAAGAAGAGACACCCUGUUAGUAA